rfam:Lasallia pustulata genome assembly, contig: scaffold27345_size920
ACGGCUAUAGGUUAAUGGUAGACCUUUCGUCUUCCAAACGAAUUGUGCCAUUUCGAAUUUGGCUAGCCGUA